rfam:Loxodonta africana unplaced genomic scaffold scaffold_12, whole genome shotgun sequence.
GCAUUGGUUGUUCAGUGGUAGAAUUCUUGCCUUCCAUGCGGGAGACCUGGGUUCAAUUCCCAGCCAGCGUA